rnacentral:lncRNA from 1 species
UGACCGAUCUCACACUUCGGAAACGAUAAGUAUACAUUAGUUUAUUUUGUUCAAGUGUUGAGUUCAGUUCAUUCAAUACUGUUCAUUAAAUUCUAUCCAUUAAAUUCAGUUCACUUCAUUUCAUAAAUUAACUGUUAUACGCCUUAUCUAGUUCAUGUCUUAAGUUAGGUUCAUACAGAUUAAUUGACACUGAAUUAUAGACAAGAAAUGUUCACACAGAAGUAAUAAGGCAUGAAGUUGAUAUUUCGUUAAAUAUUAACUGUUCACAUAAAGUUAGAAUUUUCACAGAAAGUUCUACAGCUAAAGAUAAAGAGAGGUCAUCUUCAGGCUUCUUCCUUGUCAUCGUCGCCAUCUAAAGAGUCUAGAAGAGAUGGAUCUACCUUGGCCCGAGCUUUUUCUUACUUUUACUUCGGCAGAUUUCAU